AGUGUGUGUUCAUUGUCAUUACAGUGAGACUUACAGGACAAAUUCAGGGUCCCUUUUUUAUAUUUCCUCAGGGACCGUUGAUACCCCAUCACUGAGAGGCAGAAUCCAAGCACAGCCUGACCCAGAGAAGGCUUACAAGGAUUUCAUGGCAAGACAGAAGUGUGGUCGAAUGUGCACAGCAGAAGAAGUGGCUCACCUGUGUGUGUAUUUGGCCUCAGAUGAAUCAGCCUUUGUGACUGGGACGGAGCAGAUCAUUGAUGGUGGAUGGCAACUUUGAGCAACCUGUGGAAAGCGUCUUGUGCCAGGAGUGGAGGCAGUUUCUUCAUUCUCAGUUCUCCAAAUAAACAAUCAGCUGUUUU